GCCAUCGGAUGUGCCCAGAUGGGAUUAGCUAGUAGGCGGGGUAAUGGCCCACCUAGGCGACGAUCCCUAGCUGGUCUGAGAGGAUGACCAGCCACACUGGAACUGAGACACGGUCCAGACUCCUACGGGAGGCAGCAGUGGGGAAUAUUGCACAAUGGGCGCAAGCCUGAUGCAGCCAUGCCGCGUGUAUGAAGAAGGCCUUCGGGUUGUAAAGUACUUUCAGCGAGGAGGAAGGCGUUGUGGUUAAUAACCGCAGCGAUUGACGUUACUCGCAGAAGAAGCACCGGCUAACUCCGUGCCAGCAGCCGCGGUAAUACGGAGGGUGCAAGCGUUAAUCGGAAUUACUGGGCGUAAAGCGCUCGCAGGCGGUCUGUCAAGUCGGAUGUGAAAUCCCCGGGCUCAACCUGGGAACUGCAUUCGAAACUGGCAGGCUAGAGUCUUGUAGAGGGGGGUAGAAAUCCAGGUGUAGCGGUGAAAUGCGUAGAGAUCUGGAGGAAUACCGGUGGCGAAGGCGGCCCCCUGGAUAGAGACUGACGCUCAGGUGCGAAAGCGUGGGGAGCAACAGGAUUAGAUACCCUGGUAGUCCACGCCGUAGACGAUGUCGACUUGGAGGUUGUGCCCUUGAGGCGUGGCUUCCGGAGCUAACGCGUUAAGUCGACCGCCUGGGGAGUACGGCCGCAAGGUUAAAACUCAAAUGAAUUGACGGGGGCCCGCACAAGCGGUGGAGCAUGUGGUUUAAUUCGAUGCAACGCGAGGAACCUUACCUACUCUUGACAUCCAGAGAACUUAGCAGAGAUGCU
rnacentral:rRNA from 1 species